UUAAGCCUAGGAUGUUCGUUAAAGCCUUGAAAUUCAACCACCAAUAAGCAUCCGGGAGUCCAGGUUUUUAUGGCGAUGACGGGCCUCAAUAUAGUGGAAGUCAGAACUAUAGAAUAGGACACCCACCUAGGUGAUACCGGGUGUGAAUUUACAAGGUAACGACAUCUUGGGUAUAUA
rnacentral:other from 1 species